CUCUAAUUCACAGAAAAUGGACUGGGAUAACAUUUGGGCUCUCAUACUACCACAGUCCCCUGGAGAAGGACAGGAAGGAGGCUAAUAAUGAAGGGGCCGGGGGAAGGAGGCCAGUGCUAUAAGGGUUAUCUCACAACCUCAGAUGCUGGAUAAGUCGAAGGAGGCAGAACGGCUCCUGGAUGACAUUCAGAAAGACUAGAGCGAUUAUUUGGAAGCAAAAAACCACCUAUUCUUUCCAAGGUACAUGAAUAUUGUCGAGACUUGCCCAUCCAAAGGUUCAAUGAUACAUCCUUAGAAUCCUGCUUUAGACAAAGGAUGCUCUUGGAGACCCAUCACACCUAAAACCACGCUUUGAAGGAUCUGCCAAGCUCACUUUUAAUCAUGAGAAAGAAAUUACCCACAUGGAGACAGCAGAAAAUGAGAAAGUAGAGCUCGUGCUGCGAAUAAUUCCAGUGAGUGCCAAGGGGCUAGU